CGUUCAUGUUGGUUCAGAUGUUGCUGCUGUGCCAUGUCCCAUGGCCCAUCUCCCCCAGCAGGCCUCUGACCGGCCUAGGGGUCACUGCUGUGUGGCUGUGCACAGUUCCAGUCGCAUCGGCGCAAGCACACGACGGCACAGCCGGAGUUGGCAGGGGUCUGUCUGCUUCACCGGAGAGUCAGCCCCUCCACGGAGCAGAGGAGCCAGCUUCCUCUCCACUGCCAGCUUUGUGCUGUCGGACCCUUAAUCGCUGUUAACCGAAUUAAAGAGCUGGUUUAUUUUAUUUUACUACCUUUGGGCACUUACCGACCAGCCCACCAGCCGACUGCUCUGUGGUGAUUGUCACAGCAGCCCUGCCCGACCGGAACAGCUGCUGCUCUGUUACUGGAGCUCGUGCCUGGGGUUGUCGUGUCACGAUGCCAGGACAAACACCAGAAACAAACCAGAAGGCUUCUCACUACUGCAGCCACGACGCCUUAAAUACCAAAGUGAAGCCAGCGCUCCGCGGGAGAGCAAGCCUCCACUAAAGCAACAGCGGAUGCUGAACGUGCCCCCCAAGGAUUCUCCGUAGUUUCCUGUUGCACAUGUAAACCAUGUUUAAACGCUUAACUUCUCCAAAAGAGGAACAUUUAUUUUUAUUAUUUCAGCAAUGUUAGGUGUCAUUUUAGAAUUCUGUUUCUUUACCUUGCACAUGGAAUUCAAUUUUGUACUCUUUAUAAGCAUAAUGGUAUUUAUAAGAGAAAAAAGCAGUGAUCAGCAGGCAGACCCCACACCCACAGCUACUGGAGGGCCAGGUCCCCACAGCCCACCCUAGCACCAGCAAGCUGCCCAGGAGCCUGGGCUGCCGUCCCCCUGCCACCUGCCACGAGGCCAGGGGUGGGGUGGCAGACGGUGCCGGAGGGUGGAGUUCCCCGAUGUUCACUGUAGCUUACCAGCCUCAACCUCCAGCUCCCGCCUGGAUGCUGCACCGUGUUCCACCAGACGCCAGAGGUUCAGGAUAGUUGGACCAGCCACUUCCUGCCACUUCCUGCCAGUUUUGGUGAAGGGACUGGUUCCUGGAGCCUCCACCACCUUUCUACCUCAGAACGUUUAAAACUCAAAUGCAAAAAAAAAAAAAAAAAACCACAAUAGAAUAAAAUUUAAGAACAUAUUUGCAUAAUCUUA